rnacentral:rRNA from 1 species
GACGAACGCUGGCGGCGUGCCUAAUACAUGCAAGUCGAACGCAGGGGGGACGGGUGAGUAACACGUGGGUAACCUCCCAUCAGAGGGGAUAACACUUGGAAACAGGUGCUAAACCGAUACUGAUGGAUGGACCAGCGGUGCAUUAGCUAGUUGGUGAGGUAACGGCUCAACAAGGCAACGAUGCAUAGCCGACCGUAGAGGGUGAGCGGCCAACCUGGGACGGAGAUACGGCCCAGAAUCCUACGGGAGGCAUCAGUGGGGAAUAGUGGACAAUGGGCGAAAGCCUGAUACAGCCAUGCCGCGUGUGUGAAGAAGGUCUUCGGAUGGUAAAGCACUUUAAGUUGGGAGGCGUUACCAACAGAAUAAGCACCGGCUAACUUCGUGCCAGCAGCCGCGGUAAUUC